rnacentral:tRNA from 2 species
UCCCCGGUAGCUCAAUGGUAGAGUAGGCGGCUGUUAACCGUUUGGUUGUAGGUUCGAAUCCUACCCGGGGAG